GUUAAAUCGGCCUAACUAAAUCAUGCAUGCAGUGCUGACUAAAUCAUGCAUGCAGUAAAGCUAUCUCGUUAUAUAUAGUCCUAGUUGCAGGUUUCAGUUCCACGCCCAUCCCAAAAAUUUCUGCUCAUACACAAGCACAAUCCUACUCAAAUCUGGUACAAGUUUUUGUUCAUACACAUCACAUCUUUCAAUGGAUAUCGGCCAUGCCAACAUCGGAGACAUACACUUACAAUGGACCGAAGAGGAUAAUCUAUGCCUGGUAAAUGCUUGGUUAAAUGUUCCCACUGAUUUUGUUAUUGGCAAUGAAAACACUGCACGGGAUUUUUGGAAUCAAGUCGCUGAAGAAUAUAACGCAAAUACCGCCGAUAAUCGAAGAAGACAACCUAUCCAAAUCAAACGCCGUUGGAGUAAGAUGAGCUCAGAAAUUCUGCUAUUCGAUGGCAUGUGGCGCAGGGUUGACGAUGCAUUCACAGCUACUGGACAAUAUAACCAGGGCUUGGUUUCGAAAUCUCUAGAGAUGUAUAGGUUAGAACAAAAUCAAUCAUUCAAAUUUCUCAACAUGUGGAUGUUCAUACGGAACUAUCCCCAGUGGAAUGCAAUGUACUGUCGAGUCAAAAAGCCAUGAUUUAGAUAAUAAAUUGUUGUUCUCA